rnacentral:rRNA from 1 species
AUUGAACGCUGGCGGCAGGCCUAACACAUGCAAGUCGAACGAGUGGCGGACGGGUGAGUAAUGUCUGGGAAACUGCCUGAUGGAGGGGGAUAACUACUGGAAACGGUAGCUAAUACCGCAUACCAUCGGAUGUGCCCAGAUGGGAUUAGCUAGUAGGUGGGGUAAAGGCUCACCUGGUCGACGAUCCCUAGCUGGUCUGAGAGGAUGACCAGCAACACUGGAGCUGAGACACGGGCCAGACGCCUAAGGGAGGCAGCAGUGGGGAAUAUUGCACAAUGGGAGCAAGCCUGAUGCAGCCAUGCCGCGGAUAUGAAGAAGGCCUUCGGGUUGUAAAGUACUUUCAGCGGGUAGGCGUUACCCGCAGAAGAAGCACCGGCUAACUCCGUGCCAGCAGCCGCGGUAAUAC